UACGUAGGGUGCAAGCGUUGUCCGGAAUUAUUGGGCGUAAAGAGCUCGUAGGCGGUGUGUCACGUCGGCCGUGAAAACCUGCAGCUUAACCGUGGGCGUGCGGUCGAUACGGGCAUCACUGGAGUUCGGCAGGGGAGACUGGAAUUCCUGGUGUAGCGGUGAAAUGCGCAGAUAUCAGGAGGAACACCGGUGGCGAAGGCGGGUCUCUGGGCCGAUACUGACGCUGAGGCGCGAAGGCGUGGGGAGCGAACGGG
rnacentral:rRNA from 1 species